rnacentral:tRNA from 1 species
UGGGACGUCGUCAAGUGGUAAGACAACGGCUUUUGGUGCCGUCAUUCCGCUGGUUCGAAUCCAGCCGUCCCAGCUA